CAGUCGCCACGGUAAUACGUAGGGUGCGAGCGUUAAUCGGAAUUACUGGGCGUAAAGCGUGCGCAGGCGGUUGUGUAAGACAGGUGUGAAAUCCCCGGGCUUAACCUGGGAACUGCGCUUGUGACUGCACAGCUAGAGUAUGGCAGAGGGGGGUGGAAUUCCACGUGUAGCAGUGAAAUGCGUAGAGAUGUGGAGGAACACCGAUGGCGAAGGCAGCCCCCUGGGCCAAUACUGACGCUCAUGCACGAAAGCGUGGGGGGCAAACAGGAUUAGAUACCCGCGUAGUCCCUGUCUCUUAUAC
rnacentral:rRNA from 1 species